rnacentral:rRNA from 1 species
UGGGGAAUAUUGGACAAUGGGGGCAACCCUGAUCCAGCAAUGCCACGUGUGUGAAGAAGGCCUGAGGGUUGUAAAGCACUUUUGUUGGGGAAGAAGUUGAACAGGUUAAGAGCUAGUUCAGUUGACAUUACCCAAAGAAAAAGCACCGGCUAACUCUGUGCCAGCAGCCGCGGUAAUACAGAGGGUGCGAGCGUUAAUCGGACUUACUGGGCGUAAAGGGCGCGUAGGUGGAUGAAUAAGUCAGAUGUGAAAGCCCAGGGCUCAACCUUGGAAUGGCAUUUGAUACUGUUGAUCUAGAGUAUGGUAGAGGGAAGGGGAAUUUCCGGUGUAGCGGUGAAAUGCGUAGAUAUCGGAAGGAACAUCAGUGGCGAAGGCGCCUUCCUGGACUAAUACUGACACU